rnacentral:rRNA from 1 species
GAUGAACGCUGGCGGCGUGCUUAACACAUGCAAGUCGAACGGGAAACCUUUUAUUGGCGCUUCGGCAGAUUUUGCUGGUUUCUAGUGGCGGACGGGUGAGUAACGCUUGGGGAACCUGCCUUUUACAGGGGGAUAACAGUCAGAAAUGGCUGCUAAUACCGCAAAAGCGCACAGAGCUGCAUGGCCCAGUGUGAAAAACUCCGGGGGUAUAAGAUGGACCCGCGUUGGAUUAGCUGGUUGGUGGGGUAACGGCCCACCAAGGCGACGAUCCAUAGCCGGCCUGAGAGGGUGAACGGCCACAUUGGGACUGAGACACGGCCCAGACUCCUACGGGAGGCAGCAGUGGGGAAUAUUGCACAAUGGGGGAAACCCUGAUGCAGCGACGCCGCGUGAAGGAAGAAGUAUCUCGGUAUGUAAACUUCUAUCAGCAUGGAAGAUAAUGACGGUACCUGACUAAGAAGCCCCGGCUAACUACGUG